rnacentral:miRNA from 1 species
GUAAGCACUACAGGGGGAGGGCUCCAGGAAGCAGCUCCCCUGUCCUCCCGCGCAAUGCUGUGUGGAGGCGUUGCCAUGGUAACGCGCGGCAACGCUCCACACAGCAUCGCGCGGGAGGACAGGGGAGCUGCUUCCUGGAGCCCUCCCCCUGCCUCCC